AACGAACGCUGGCGGUAUGCUUUACACAUGCAAGUCGAACGAAUUGUUGGUAGCUUGCUAUCAACAGUUAGUGGCAAACGGGUGAGUAACGCGUGGGAACCUACCUUGUAGUACGGAAUAGCCAUUGGAAACGAUGAUUAAUACCGUAUACGCUCUACAGAGGAAAGAUUUAUCGCUAUAAGAUGGGCCCGCGUUGGAUUAGUUGUUGGUGGGGUAAUGGCCUACCAAGACUACGAUCUAUAACUGGUUUGAGAGGAUGAUCAGUCACACUGGAACUGAGACACGGUCCAGACUCCUACGGGGAGGCAGCAGUGGGGGGAAUAUUGGACAAUGGGCGAAAGCCUGAUCCAGCAAUACCGCGUGAGUGAUGAAGGCCCUAGGGUUGUAAAGCUCUUUCAAUAGGGAAGAUAAUGACGGUACCUAUAGAAGAAGCACCGGCUAAAC
rnacentral:rRNA from 1 species